AGAGUUUGAUCAUGGCUCAGAUUGAACGCUGGCGGCAUGCUUACACAUGCAAGUCGAACGGCAGCACGGGGGCAACCCUGGUGGCGAGUGGCGAACGGGUGAGUAAUACAUCGGAACAUACCCUAGAGUGGGGGAUAACGUAGCGAAAGUUACGCUAAUACCGCAUACGCACUAUGGUGGAAAGCAGGGGAUCGCAAGACCUUGCGCUCAUGGAGUGGCCGAUGUCAGAUUAGCUAGUUGGUGGAAAAGCCUACCAAGGCGACGAUCUGUAGCUGGUCUGAGAGGACGACCAGCCACACUGGAACUGAGACACGGUCCAGACUCCUACGGGAGGCAGCAGUGGGGAAUUUUGGACAAUGGGGGCAACCCUGAUCCAGCCAUGCCGCGUGUGUGAAGAAGGCUUCGGGUUGUAAAGCACUUUUGUCCGGAACGAAACGGCUCGGGCUAAUACCUCGGGCUAAUGACGGUACCGGAAGAAUAAGCACCGGCUAACUACGUGCCAGCAGCCGCGGUAAUACGUAGGGUGCAAGCGUUAAUCGGAAUUACUGGGCGUAAAGCGUGCGCAGGCGGUUCCGCAAGUCAGAUGUGAAAUCCCCGGGCUUAACCUGGGAACUGCAUUUGAAACUAUGGAGCUAGAGUGUGUCAGAGGGGGGUAGAAUUCCACGUAGCAGUGAAAUGCGUAGAGAUGUGGAGGAAUCCGAUGGCGAAGGCAGCCCCCUGGGAUANNNCUGACGCUCAUGCACGAAAGCGUGGGGAGCAAACAGGAUUAGAUACCCUAGUAGUCC
rnacentral:rRNA from 1 species